CCUACGGGUGGCAGCAGUAGGGAAUUUUCGUCAAUGGGGGGAACCCUGAACGAGCAAUGCCGCGUGAGUGAAGAAGGUCUUCGGAUCGUAAAGCUCUGUUGUAAGAGAAAAACGGGUAUCAUCGGGAAUGAUGAUAUCGUGAUGGUAUCUUACCAGAAAGCCACGGCUAACUACGUGCCAGCAGCCGCGGUAAUAGUUGGGUGGCAAGGGUUAUCCGGAAUGAUUGGGCUAAAAGGAGGCGUCGGCGGCAAAAUAAGCCUGAAGUAAAAGGCGUUGGCUCAACCAACGUAAGCUUUGGAAACUGUGAAGCUAGCGUGCAGGAGAGGUUAGUGGAAUUCCAUGUGUAGCGGUAAAAUGCGUAGAUAUAUGGAGGAACACCAGUGGCGAAGGCGGCUAACUGGCCUGUAACGGACGCUGAGGCACGAAAGCGUGGGGAGCAAAUAGGAUUAGAUACCCCAGUAGUC
rnacentral:rRNA from 1 species